GCUUUAAAAGUUAAAUUUGGAGCUCGGUAAAGUCAUUCGUAUUUCGUUUGAGCAAGCAAACUCGCAAAAAUGGUGAAGUUAAAUGUUUUUAUUUUCGCUGUGUUGUGUACAAUAUUCUUCGUCCAGAUGGCUAACGCUGGCAUGUGCUAUGAACCAAUGAGAGAAGAAAAUUGCGCAAGGAAGGAAUGGCGUUACCAUUUUAACAUGACAACAAGAGAUUGUGACGGACAAAUGGCAUGUUCAGGUGGACCAAAUAACUUCAAAACUUGGCAAGAGUGCCACGAUGCUUGCAUUAAAUUCAUUCCAAUGAAAUAAUGAUUUUUUUUGAAAAUAAAGUACAGCUAAAUUCGUUAAAGAA